ensembl:lncRNA
UGUUGCUGGGGCAUGGGCUGAUUCAGCAUGUUCCGCGUGACUCGGGACCUCGGUAGGGUGUCUGCAGACCUGCCUGUCUGGAGCGGGCUGAUUCUGCGUGUUCCGCGUGACUCAGGACCUUGGUAGGGCGUGCCAAAUUUUGAUUUCUUAUUCCCACAUCCCAAAUACCAUCUUUCAGGAAUUUUGAAAUACCAAUACCCAGUGAAUCUUUUUAAUAAGAAAAAGUUGAGUGGGAACAGUAAAGUGUCAGUCUUCUUCCAAUGCCUAUAGGCUCAUGGUACUCAGUAAGUGUAGGGAGAAGUUGGGAAGCCACAUCUUCAAAAAAUGUGGGUGGUUCUUAGCUUUGACUCAUCAUUUAUAUUUGUAAAAUAUAAAUUUUAUAAAUUUUAGAAAACCGUACUGUUAAAGGAAUCAUGAGCUUUGACUAAAAGUAGUACUGCUUCAGAUUUAAAAUGAACCCUGGGACCUGCCUAUUAAGAGGAGGUAGCUAAGAAAUCUUCUUGGUCUCCAAAUAUAUCCUCCAAUGUCUACUCCAAGAUUGCAGAGAAGAUAAAAAUAAUUUCAAAAGGAAAGGUUUUCUAUCACUUCUCGGCCUUUUGGCUAAGAUCAAGUUUGGAAAGGUUUUCUAAAUGAUGAGAUCAAAAAUUAGGUUCUAAGGAAUUUUAUAUCCACAAAGUAGAGGGCUCUUGUAGCAUAGAAUUGUUUUAGACUAGUAACUGCUAUAUGUCUUCCAUCUUUCCAUUUUUCUAUCUCUGUUUCAACCACAUGUGUGUAGAAGACAGACUUUUUCUUAGAUUAACAGAUAAAGGAGAGAUUUAUAUAUACCAUACCCAGAUUUAGAGUCUACUGUUAGUGGACCUUGAACUUAAUGUUGUUGAUUCCAUGGAUCUCUUUUCAGAAGAGACAGCAUAUGUCCUGACAGAGAGAGAGGGAGCACUGAAUAAACUGUUGGCCAGAAAGGUGAGCUGUGAUAAUCAUUAGGAUUAUUCACCAUAGAAUAGUGGUUUGUCCCAGAGGAUCAGAUACAUAGCAGGAUUAUGGUUCUUAUGAUUGAAUGGAGUCAUAUGUGUCUGGUUCUUGAUUGUGAAUUGUGGGGAAAUAUAACAUGUCUCUUCUGAGCUGAAGCAUUAAAUGUGAGGCCUAGAUUUUUGUCUUUUCCUUGAUUGUCUUACUGGCAGUUUGAGAAGGUGGCUGUGUCAUCUGAGUUACUAGGAUUAACAGAAUAGUUAUCCUUCAACUUGCAGUGGGCAUUUAAAUGAAUGAGAAACCUCAAGUUCCAUCUAUUUAUGCAUAGAUGCCUCAAGUUUACCUUUCUUUAAAACUGUGUAGUACCCCAUUGUGUAUAAAUACAUUUUCCUUAUCCAUCUAAAACUACAAUGAGAUACCAUCUUACUCCAGAAAGAACGUCUAUCAUCAGAAAAUCUAAUAAUAACAAAUGCUGACAAGGAUGUGGGGAAAAGGAACUCUUCUGCAUUGUUGGUGGGAAUGUAAACUAGUACAACAAGGAUCAAGUAAUUUUCCAAGUAAAGAUAGUGUAUGUAUUCCUGGACAAAAUUCAAGAUAUGUAGAAGUGUUUUAAAAAAAAAUAUUGAGCAUCCACAGAAGAUUUGCAAUGUAUAGCUUUAAAUUAAAGGCUUAAGACAUAACAAAUAAGCAGCAAAACAUGAAAAUAAUGAGGAAAAUAGUCAAAACUGACACCAAUGUCAGUAUUAGCACAAGAUUAAAAAUUACUGUAUCUUCAGAAUGUUAAGACAGUAGGUAAAAAACUGGAAGAGCUAACCAAGAUAGUUCAAAACUUAAACAACAGAUUCAACAAGGAUGUGGAAUCCUCUAAAAGAUGUCAGAUGGAAAUACCUAAAGUAAACAGUAUAGAAUUCAUACACCCCAGAAAUGACCAUCAUGAACACAGAGUAUCAAAUAUUGAUGGCAAAAUAAUGCAUUAUGAUAAAAAGCUCAAAGAAGCCCAAAAAGAAAAUAAGAGAACAAGAGAAGACUAUCCAUCAGCUACUAGAUGACAACAAAAAACCUCAUGUAAGGCUAAUCAGAGAGAAGCUAGAAGACUACAUAGAUGGACUUACCAACAUGCUUACAGAAAUUAUUGAAGAAAAUUCCCCAAAUAUAAGAAAAGAGUUAAAAGUAUAAAUAAGUGAUGCUUAUAGAACACGAAACAAAUAUGAUAAAAGGAGUUCACCAAGGCAUAUUCUCAUUAAACUUGCAGAUACCCAGCAAAAACAAAACAACCAGAAUUUUAAAGGCAGCCAGAGAAAAACAAAAAAUCAUAUACAAAAGUAAACCAAUUAGAAUCACAGCAGACUUCUCAGCACAAACCCUCAAGGCCAGAAGAGCUUAGGGUGAAGUGUUUUAAGCCCUGAAAACAAAUAACUUCCAACCCAGAUUAACUUACCCAGCAAAACUGCCCUUCAAAAUAGAUGGAGAAAUAAGGCAUUUCUGUGAAAAGCACCAGCUCAGAACAUUUAUGAGUGCUAACCUAAUUCUAGAAAAAACACUCAAUAUUCUCAACAGAAACAUAGGACUGGACACCCCUAAAAACAGAGGAAACUAGUAAGGACACUGGAUAAACAACAAUAAAAACAACAGGAAAAAGGCCGGGGAUUUAGCUCAGUGGUUUCGCCGCCUGCUGCGCAAGCGCAAGUACCCAAGAUCGAUCCCCAGUACCAAAAAAAAACCAAAAAACAAAAAACAGGAAAAGUAAAAUAAUAUGCCAAGAGAUAAAGAAGACAAUGAUAAUAAAUAACCAACAUAUCUCAAUAAUAUUUAUCAAUGUUAAUGGCCUCAACUCUCCAACAAAAGACAGACUGAUAGACUGGAUCAAAAACAGAAUCCAACUAUCUGUUGGAUUCAAAAUAUUCAUCUAAUCCAAAAAUAUAUUCAAGACUAAAAAUUAAAGGAUGGGAAACAUUUCAUGCACCAGGACCCUGAAAACAAGAAGUAGCAGUUCUGAUAUUGACAUGGUAAAUUUCAAGUCAAAACUGAUUAGAAGAGACAAAGAAGGUCACUACAUGCUAGUUAAAGAAACAAUCUAACAAGAAGAGAUAACAUUGAUUAACAUAUAUGCACCAAAUACUGGAUCACCUAUCUUCAUAAAACAGUGCUGAAAUUAAAAGAUCAAAUAAACAUUAACACAAUCACAGUAGAUUUUAACACCCUACUUUCUCAAAGAAACAUCAACUGAACAAAACAUUUCAGAGCUGAACCACACCCUUGAACAUAUGUACUUAAUAAUAUAUUCCACCAAUCUACAACAGAGUAUACAUUCUUUUCAGCAGCACAUGGUACCUUUUUUGAAAUAGAUCACAUACUAGUCCACAAAGCCUGCUUAAGUAAAUAUAAAAGUAUGAAAUUACCCCAUGCUUACUAUCUUACCACUGGGCAAUGAAAAUAGAAAUCAAUGACAAGAAAAUUUGGAAAAGGCGAAAGCUCCUGGAAAAUGAACAAUAUACUCCUAAAUAACCAAUGGGUCACAGAAGAAAUCAAAGAAGAAAUUAAACAUUUUCUGAAGGUUAAUGACUGGAACUCAACAAUACCUUUGGGACACUUUGAAUGCAGUUCUAAGAGGAAUAUUCAUUGCAAUUAAUGCUCACAUUUGGAAAACAGAGCAAGCCCUGUUGGGUACUAGGCUACGUAACUCAGAUCUCAGUCUCAAGGUCCAUGUUAUCUUGCCUCAGGAACAGGAAAGUAUGUGGAAGGCCACAUACCCCUUGGCUAUGAGUGGAAUGCUGAUAACCAGUAACCUGGCACUCCUGAGGCAAGACAGCUUCUGCUGAGGACAGUUGUCAAUACACAGGCAGUUGGGUGUACAGAAAGUUUUGUUCCUUAUUAACUUUACCCACCCAUUCUCUAAGGUGCUGUUCCCUGAAACUCACGCUGCCCCUCCCCUGCGCUCCUCAUUGCCUAAUAAAAGCUGGUCCGCUGUGGAGCUCAGGUCUGUCCACUACAGGCAAGCAGGUCUCCUUCUGGUCCCCCUAUAUCUUGAAAAUUGUCCCUGUCUCUUUCUUUUCAUUCUUCAUUGUUCCCUGCAAAAGGAUAGCUGAGGGUCUAAUCAGCCCUCGGUAAUUGGGACCUCAGAACAGGGACUCUGAGACCUGAAGGGGAAGACCUACUGAAGUGCGAAAGGAACAGAAACAGAUGUUGGGGAACUCCAUGGGAUGAAUCCAGAAGCCAGCUGUUUAAAAAGGUGAAACAUUGCUUCACUCACUUUUGGAACUUCAGAAAGCACUGGAUUAGAUCUUUCCGCAGCCCAGAGAGUAAUGCUUAGGGGAGGUAAGCCUGUGAGAUACCCAUGGAGAUGUGGAGAUCUGGGGACCACUCCCCAGGGUAUUGUUGGAUUAAUUAUGAGUAAAAGUAGUCUAAAUUUGCAAGGUAUAACUGUGAUGCCUGGGGUAAUUGAUUCUGAUUAUGAUGGAGAAAUCCAAGUUGUAGCUCAUUCUUUUGAUGUUUGAGUUUUUGAGCCAAGUGAUUAGGUUGCUCAGUUGAUAUUUCUUCCUAUUGUAGGGGUUACCACAAUACAAUACAGGAAGCAGCAAGGAAAAGAAGGGGGCUUUGGUAGUAUCCCAAGUAAAGAAAUUUAUUUUACCCAAGAAUUAGGCGAGGGAAGACCUAUGUGUAGAAUGAAAAUAAAGGACAAAAAUUUUUUUUUUGAACUGGGUAUUAAACUUGGGACCUUGGUCUUGCAAAGCAGGCGGUGGAACCACUGAGCUAAAUCCCCAGCCAAAGGACAAAUAUUUUGAAGGAUUCUUAGAUCCAGAAGCCAAUGUGUCUGUUCUGGCCAUUGAACAAUGGCCUCCCCACUAGCCCCCUAAGGCUGCUGCCACCUUGUUAGUAGGGCUUGGCUUGCCUCAACAUAUAUUGCAAAUGUAACUCCCGUACCUUACUCAGGGCCAGAAAAUCAAGCUAGUACCUUUCAACCUUAUGUGGCUCUCAUUCUGGUAAAUUUAUGGGGAAGAGAUCUCGUAAAGGAAUGGAGAAUUAUGCUAAUGAACCUAUUGAUGUGGCAAAACCAAUUAUGGAAAAGAUGGGAUAUCAUUCAGACUUUGCAAGGUAAUCCCAAACUGCUAUCAGUUACUCCUAGAUUAGACUGUAUGGGUGUAGAAUGACCCUUUUUGAUAGGGGUCAUUGAUGCUUCUUCUCCCAGGGCAGCUUUUCUACUUCAAGGGAAAACAGAUAUCCCAGUCUAGGUGGAUUAGUGGCCCCUAAAUAAAGAGAAGCUAAAACACUUAAGUGCAAGAACAUAUCUAAUUAGGGCACUUAGAACCAUCUACCAGUCCCUGGAACACUACUGUGUUCAUGAUUCCAAAGAAAUCUGGAAAGUGGAGAUUAUUACAAGAUUUAAGAGAAGUAAAUGCUUGUUUACAGCCAAUAGAAGAUUUACAGCCUGGUCUCCCAUCUCCUGCAGCUGUUCCCUGAGAGUGGCUGUUGAUUGUUACCGAUCUAAAAGACUGUUUCUUUAUAAUUCCCUUACGCCCACCUGAUCACCAGUAUUUUGUUUUCUGUACUCAGUAUUAACUUUAAAGAACC